CCUACGUGCGGCAGCAGUGGGGAAUAUUGGACAAUGGGCGAAAGCCUGAUCCAGCCAUGCCGCGUGUGUGAAGAAGGCCUUCGGGUUGUAAAGCACUUUCAGUGGGGAAGAAAGCCUUGGGGCUAAUACCCUCGAGGAAGGACAUCACCCACAGAAGAAGCACCGGCUAACUCCGUGCCAGCAGCCGCGGUAAUACGGAGGGUGCGAGCGUUAAUCGGAAUUACUGGGCGUAAAGCGCGCGUAGGCGGUCUGAUAAGCCGGUUGGGAAAGCCCCGGGCUCAACCUGGGAACGGCAUCCGGAACUGUCAGGCUAGAGUGCAGGUGAGGAAGGUAGAAUUCCCGGUGUAGCGGUGAAAUGCGUAGAGAUCGGGAGGAAUACCAGUGGCGAAGGCGGCCUUCUGGACUGACACUGACGCUGAGGUGCGAAAGCGUGGGUAGCAAACAGGAUUAGAUACCCGUGUAGUC
rnacentral:rRNA from 1 species